UACGAAGGGUGCAAACGUUGCUCGGAAUUAUUGGGCGUAAAGCGCGUGUAGGCGGCUUUGCAAGUCGGGUGUGAAAGCCCUCGGCUCAACCGAGGAAGUGCGCCCGAAACUGCAGAGCUUGAGUACCGGAGAGGAUGGCGGAAUUCCCCAAGUAGAGGUGAAAUUCGUAGAUAUGGGGAGGAACACCGGUGGCGAAGGCGGCCAUCUGGACGGAUACUGACGCUGAGACGCGAAAGCGUGGGGAGCAAACAGG
rnacentral:rRNA from 1 species